rnacentral:lncRNA from 1 species
AAAUCUUUGACUUUUUUUUAUUUACAGCGAUGCUGCCAUACAUACUAUUUUCUCUAGGUUAAAGGCAAAAUCUGAAGAAGUAUGACUUUUCCUCUCAAGAUUUUUAUUUGUAUCCUCCACAGUGGGCCUCGCUCUGCACCAAGAGCCUUUGUCUCGUGGCUUCCAUGACACUUCUGUGAGGUUUGUUUUGGGCCAUCUCUUUACGCAUGCUGCUAAAUUCUUCUCAAUCAAGAUCGAAUGACUGGGGAUUAUUAAGAAAGAGAGAGCCAUGGCUGAAAUUAAAGAAAAAUCAGAUGAUGAAGACCAGAUUUUGUCUUUACAUGUCCCAGAUUGAACUAUACAUUUUUGAUUAUCUGACCUCUAACCCAUGGAGCUUACCCAAUGUGCCACCUGUACUACUAGCUGGUAAGUCUGUCCUAGGUAACCCUCUGAAGGCUCAUUGCAUAGAAAGCCAUCUAUCCUGAGAAUCUGAAAUAGU